rnacentral:lncRNA from 1 species
UCCCAGCCAGCCAGUUGUUUGUUGCAAAACAGCCAUUGAUACCAUUCCAAAGCUUCACCGUUGAGAUAAAAGGAUGCCAAGGUUAGCUUGUACGUUUCUGCGAUUCCGUAAAAAUCAAAAUAGCGUUUUGAGAUAAAAGGAUGCCAAGGUUAGCUUGUGCGUUUCUGCGAUUCCGUAAAAAUCAAAAUAACGUUCAGCUUGGAAAAUCCACGCCUCUGGAUUUUCACCACGAAAUCGUCCUAGUUCCACGGAGCUGGCCUAUGACGGAGUGUGGGGGCUUCAAGAGUGUCUUUCCCGUGAUGAGGACGAGCAACCUCCAUUGUUGGAUCUUGAAUGUGAGGCCCUGCCGGAACGAACUUUCCGGUAAUCUCCUGUAACAUAUGGCGAAUGUCUGCAAUAUCUUUGGAAAAUGACUCUUUCGCCUCCUUAAUGGAUUCAUUGAUGAGAGCCUUGAGUCUUUGGUUCUCCAUGAGAAACCUCU